UAUUUAACGAAAGUGGCGAACGGGUGAGUAACACGUGAGCAACCUGCCUUACACAGGGGGAUAGCCAUUGGAAACGGUGAUUAAUACCCCAUAAGACCACAAUACCGCAUGGUAAAAGGGUAAAAGGGAUACCGGUGUAAGAUGGGCUCGCGUCUGAUUAGCUAGUUGGUGGGGUAAAGGCCUACCAAGGCGACGAUCAGUAGCCGGUCUGAGAGGAUGAACGGCCACAUUGGAACUGAGACACGGUCCAAACUCCUACGGGAGGCAGCAGCG
rnacentral:rRNA from 1 species